rnacentral:misc_RNA from 1 species
AACACUGUUAACCUGCGGUACCUGCGGAAGGAUCAUUACAGAGUUCGUGCCCUCGCGGGUAGAUCUCCCACCCUUGUGUAUUCUCUACAUCUUGUUGCUUUGGCAGGCCGUUGGUUCGCCAACCACCGGCUCGCGGGCUGGUGCGUGCCUGCCAGAGGACCUCUCAAACUCGGUUUGUUAGUGUCGUCUGAGUACCAUAACAAUCGUUAAAACUUUCAACAACGGAUCUCAGAUCGGAAG